rnacentral:rRNA from 1 species
ACACGGAGGGCGCAAGCGUUGCUCGGAAUCACUGGGCGUAAAGCGGGUGUAGGCGGUCUAGCAAGUCAGAUAUGAAAGCCCACGGCUCAACCGUGGAAGUGCAUCUGAAACUGCUAGACUUGAGUGCCGGAGAGGGAAGUGGAAUUCCUGGUGUAGGGGUGAAAUCCGUAGAUAUCAGGAGGAACACCGGUGGCGAAGGCGACUUCCUGGACGGCCACUGACGCUGAGACCCGAAAGCGUGGGGAGCAAACAGGAUUAGAAACCCCAGUAGUCC